rnacentral:rRNA from 1 species
UAACGCGUGAGGAACCUGCCUCAAAGAGGGGGACAACAGUUGGAAACGACUGCUAAUACCGCAUAAGCCCACGGCUCGGCAUCGAGCAGGGGGAAAAGGAGCAAUCCGCUUUGAGAUGGCCUCGCGUCCGAUUAGCUAGUUGGUGAGGUAACGGCCCACCAAGGCGACGAUCGGUAGCCGGACUGAGAGGUUGAACGGCCACAUUGGGACUGAGACACGGCCCAGACUCCUACGGGAGGCAGCAGUGGGGAAUAUUGCACAAUGGGGGAAACCCUGAUGCAGCGACGCCGCGUGGAGGAAGAAGGUCUUCGGAUUGUAAACUCCUGUUGUUGAGGAAGAUAAUGACGGUACUCAACAAGGAAGUGACGGCUAACUACGUGCCAGCAGCCGCGGUAAAACGUAGGUCACAAGCGUUGUCCGGAAUUACUGGGUGUAAAGGGAGCGCAGGCGGGAGAACAAGUUGGAAGUGAAAUCCAUGGGCUCAACCCAUGAACUGCUUUCAAAACUGUUUUUCUUGAGUAGCGCAGAGGUAGGCGGAAUUCCCGGUGUAGCGGUGGAAUGCGUAGAUAUCGGGAGGAACACCAGUGGCGAAGGCGGCCUACUGGGCACCAACUGACGCUGAGGCUCGAAAGUGUGGGUAGCAAACAGGAUUAGAUACCCUGGUAGUCCACACCAUAAACGAUGAUUACUAGGUGU